rnacentral:rRNA from 1 species
CCUACGGGAGGCAGCAGUGAGGAAUAUUGGUCAAUGGGCGUAAGCCUGAACCAGCCAAGUCGCGUGAGGGAUGAAGGUUCUAUGGAUCGUAAACCUCUUUUAUAAGGGAAUAAAGUGUGGGACGUGUCCUAUUUUGUAUGUACCUUAUGAAUAAGGAUCGGCUAACCCCGUGCCAGCAGCCGCGGUAAUACGGAGGAUCCGAGCGUUAUCCGGAUUUAUUGGGUUUAAAGGGUGCGUAGGCGGGCUUUUAAGUCAGUGGUGAAAGUCUGUGGCUCAACCAUAGAAUUGCCGUUGAAACUGGGAGGCUUGAGUAUGGUUGAGGCAGGCGGAAUGCGUGGUGUAGCGGUGAAAUGCUGAGAUAUCACGCAGAACCCCGAUUGCGAAGGCAGCCUGCCAAGCCAUGACUGACGCUGAUGCACGAAAGCGUGGGGAUCAAACAGGAUUAGAUACCCUUGUAGUC